UGCAGCCGCGGUAAUUCCAGCUCCAAUAGCGUAUAUUAAAGUUGUUGCAGUUAAAAAGCUCGUAGUUGAAUUUCGGGGUCAGUAGAUUGGUCGUGCCACUGGUAUGUACUGGUCUUACUGGCUCCUCCUUCCUGAUGAACCGUAAUGCCAUUAAUUUGGUGUUGCGGGGAGACUGGACUGUUACUUUGAAAAAAUUAGAGUGUUUAAAGCAGGCUAACGCUUGAAUACAUUAGCAUGGAAUAAUGAAAUAGGACGUUCGAUCUUAUUUUGUUGGUUUCUAGGAUUGACGUAAUGAUUAAUAGGGAUAGUUGGGGGCAUUAGUAUUCAAUUGUCAGAGGUGAAAUUCUUGGAUUUAU
rnacentral:rRNA from 1 species